GAUGAAGAACGUAGUGAAAUGCGAUAAGUAAUGUGAAUUGCAGAAUUCAGUGAAUCAUCGAAUCUUUGAACGCACAUUGCGCCCGCCAGUAUUCUGGCGGGCAUGCCUGUUCGAGCGGCAUUUCAACCAUCAAGCCCCAGGCUUGUGUUGGAGCCCUGCGGCUGCCGCAGCCUCCCAAAACCAGUGGCGGGCUCGCUAUCACACCGAGUGCAGUAGUUUACUCUUCGCUCAGGGCGUGUGGCGGGUGCUAGCCGUAAAACCCCCAACUUCUCAAGGUUGACCUCGGAUCAGGUAGGAAUACCCGCUGAACUUAAGCAUAUCAAUAAGCGGAGGA
rnacentral:misc_RNA from 1 species